rnacentral:sRNA from 1 species
CGAUCUGCUGCGGGCAGAUGAAGUGGAUAUGCGCGUCGAAGCCGCCCGCCGUCAGGAUCCUGCCCUCGCCGGCGAUUGCUUCGGUGCCCGGCCCGACGACGAUGGUGACGCCCGGCUGGGUAUCCGGAUUGCCGGCCUUGCCGAUGCCGGCGAUGCGUCCGUCCCUGAGCCCGAUAUCGGCCUUGUAUAUGCCGGUGUGGUCGAGCACGAGCGCAUUGGUGAUGACGGUAUCGACGGCGCCGUCGGCGCGGCUCGCUUGGCUCUGGCCCAUGCCGUCGCG